GCUUUCUUCCAGAACAGCACCUCAUACUUAUAGUUGGUAAAGCCCAUUUGUUCUAGAAACCUUGGCCAGCUCUGCAGCCUGAUGGGAUAUCCAGGCCACAGUCUUGACCUCAGGUACAAAGGUGUGUGGUGAGGUCUGCAGCUUUACAAGUCUGAAUGUGGUCACCUGGGCUAAACCUGGCCCUUGUUCCUUGUGCCUUGAAUGCAAAAGGGCGUUUUUUCCCCAGUCUGCUGUGUCCUUGAGGAAAUUCUGGAGGGAUGCUGGAGAGCUGUUGUCAGUCUGGGCUUCCAUUCCUCGUCUCUCCUGCCCAUCAGUACUUGAAACUAUCAAAUGUUCCAGCCCUGUGCUUAUCUGCCCCUCGAGAAGCCUCACUGCUCACACAGCAUAACUUCUACUUCAUGUUUUGGGUGUUAGCUUCUGGGAUUUCUCAGGCAUCGCUGCUCCUGAGAGUCUUCUAGUUUGCUUAAUGCAAGUCUGGGACCGAUGAAAAGGGUGAUUAACACUUUCAGCCUAACAGCUGGCUGCAGCUAGGGACAUAAAAACCAGCUGCCAUGUCCUGUUGAUUGCAUGCAUCAGCAGGCAGGUAAAGCUUUAUAAUCAAUAUAAUCUGUGGCAAGGGUCCUUCCUUGUAUACACACACAAGUUAUAGCACUGCUUCAUCUGCAAAACAGCAUGCAGUUUCAGCAUGUGUACUGUAUUAAGCUUUCUUUGCAUCAAUGUAAAAGAAAUCUUCUGCAAUAUGUCGUGAUUUGAGCCAUAUGGCGUGUAAGAAACAGGUGGAGCAAAGGCUGAGCAACAAGCACUGAAAGAAGAAAACAGCUAUUAUUUUAAAUAAUCGAGAUAAAGGAUUACAUUUGUGGCCAUCAUCCUCCAAACAAUUAUUAACAGAAUAGUCAAACCUGACAGAUGUGCUGCUAACAGUUCUGUUCUGUAUGUUGUCUAUGGACAGGAAUUGCUAUAGGACAGUUUUCUGACUUACAUUUUGAGUGUUCACAGUCUACUGCUUUUGUUAUGAUUUUUUUCACCUCCAUAAAGGAGAUUUAUUUAAAUGUCCCUAUUGUGUGAUUCUCAAACCCAUUAAUGCCCUUUUCAAAGUGGUUGCUGGAGCACUUCCCAAGUAAAUAUUUGUUGAAGUGCUUAUUAGCAAGACAAUUUCCUUGGGUAUUUUCUCCUUCCAUGAACAUUCUUAUUAGAAAUGUUAACAGAAAUGAAAAACAAUUUGCAAAAUUUGUUGAUAUUUCUAGCAUAAUGGAAAAAGAUGGUUUAAUCAGAUUAUUUACAAAUUGAAGCCUCCUUUAAAUUUUGCCUUUUGCCUGAUUUUCUUUUCUUUUUAUAAUCAAUAAAACUCUAUGCAGUUGUGUGUUCCUAUGGCAAGUAAAAGCCAAAGCAGUCAUCCAGCUGUUAAAAUUAGCGUUAGAUCUGAAUUUUCUAUGGAUUUCAUGGAUGGCAGGAAAUCAGCUUUCAUUGCUGCUUCCCCCUCCUCCCCAUCCAGCCUCCUAUUAGAUUAAUACCAGAAGCAUGAAGUAACGUUUAACAGAAAGUUGUUGCUUUUAGCUCUGGGAAAACUUGGCAGCCUCUCCAGAAAUGAAGGGGGAGGGGGAACCCGAAGCCUCCGUUAACUAAAGAGGAGAUUGGAGGCAAAAAGAAACACUUUUCUCCCAUUAAAAUUCUGAAGUUUUAAAAAAUGCAUUAAUGACAAACUGUUUCUAAGUCUAAGGAGGGUCUGCUGUCAUACCUCCUCUCGAUGCAUUAAUCGCCUGGCUCCUAUGGGCUACUUUCAUGUUCCCAUCUCAUAUUGCUUAGUAAUUUAUGUCCUGUUAGCAAAGUGUAUCACUGAAAUAGUGCAUUUCUCUUUCUGUUUAGAAUGGGUUUCUACUUUACAGGAUGGUCUGAGGAUCAUGCAACCAAAAAGAAGGGUGUUGCUUACCAUCACUGAGAUGCCUCCCCUUGAGUGCUUUAAGGUUUCAGUAGUACAAAGAAGAAAAAAAAAAAGGAAUAUGUA